rnacentral:lncRNA from 1 species
GACAGCUCCUGGGCUCCACCUUUUCCCUCACGCUGCCAGCACCAGGUUGGCGGCUUCUCGCUCAGCUGCCUUGGCAAGAGGGCAGGUCCAGGCUGGAGCCAGGUGUUGAGUGGCAGCAACCAGGAGGUGCUCCUGCCAGCCCUUCAUGCACUUUUUCUCACUUCUCCCUUCUUUUUGUAAAUAAUCACGCCUGCUUAGAUGCCUGGUGACUCUCAUCUUGCAGCAGGCCACACUGUUGGCCUCCAAUGAAGCCUUUAAAAAGCAGAUGGAGAGUGCUAGUGAGGCGGCCAAGAAGUACACGGAGAAUGACCAGCUCAAGAAGUGAGCUGCUGUUGACGGAGGCAAGUUGGAUGUCGGGAAUGCUGAGGUGAAGUUGGAGGAAGAGAACAGGAGCCUGAAGGCUGAGCUGCAGAAGCUAAAGGAUGAGCUGGCCAGCACUAAGCAAAAACUAGAGAAAGCUGAAAACCAGGUUCUGGCCAUGCGGAAGCAGUCUGAGGGCCUCACCAAGGAGUACGACCGCUUGCAGUAGGAGCACGCAAAGCUGCAGGCUACAGUAGUUGGUCCCAUGGACAAGAAGAAAGAGUAAGGGCCUCCUUCCUCCCUGGCCUGCAGCUGGCUUCCACCUGGCACGUGCCUGCUGCUUCCUGAGAGCCCAGCCUCUCCCUCCAGUACUUCUGUUUGUGCCCUUCACUUCCCCCAUUCCCUUCCACAGCUCAUAGCUCGUCAUCUUGGCCCUUGUCCACACUCUCCAAGCACAUUACAGGGUACCUGAUUGCUACACGUUCAGAAUGCAUUUGCUGUUAUCCUGCUUGGCCUGGCCAGGCCUGGCACAGCCCUGGCUUCCACGCCUGAGCGUGGAGGACACGAGUUAGUUGUAGUUUGGCUUGCGGUGGGGCUGACUUCCUGUUGGUUUGAGCCCUUUUUUGUUUUGCCCUCUGGGUGUUUUCUUUGGUCCCGCAGGAGGGUGGGUGGAGCAGGUGGACUGGAGUUUCUCUUGAGGGCAAUAAAAGUUGUCAUGGUGUGUAUGUGGUGCGGUGUGUGACUGUGGCCAUGGAGAGGGCUCUGCUUUCUUUCCUGCCUGGAGCCCCCAAGGGGCCACAGGCCUUCAACCUGUUUCCACCACUGAAGGCCAGGCUCACACCUGUUCUCAAAGGCCCUGCCCUCUCUGUCCUCUUGCUCCCCG